AUACGGAGGAUCCGAGCGUUAUCCGGAUUUAUUGGGUUUAAAGGGUGCGCAGGCGGGAGAUUAAGUCGGCGGUGAAAUUUUGCAGCUCAACUGUAAAAGGGCCCUCGAAACUGGGUUCCUUGAGUGUAGAUGAAGUAGGCGGAAUUUGUGGUGGAGCGGUGAAAUGCAUAGAUAUCACGAGGAACUCCGAUUGCGCAGGCAGCUUACUAAACUACUACUGACGCUCAGGCACGAAGGCGUGGGGAUCAAACAGGAUUAGAUACCCUGGUAGUCCACGCAGUAAACGAUGAUUACUAGCUGUUUGCGAUACAAUGUAAGCGGCUGAGCGAAAGCGUUAAGUAAUCCACCUGGGGAGUACGUUCGCAAGAAUGAAACUCAAAUGAAUUGGCGGGG
rnacentral:rRNA from 1 species